rnacentral:rRNA from 1 species
UACAGAGGUCUCAAGCGUUGUUCGGAAUCACUGGGCGUAAAGGGUGCGUAGGCCGCACGGUAAGUCAGAGGUGAAAUCCCGGAGCUCAACUUCGGAAUUGCCUCCGAUACUGCCGUGCUUGAGGACUGGAGAGGAGUCUGGAAUUCACAGUGGAGCAGUGAAAUGCGUAGAUAUUGUGAGGAACACUAGUGGCGAAGGCGAGACUCUGGACAGUUCCUGACGCUGAGGAGCGAAAGCAUGGGGAGCGAACAGG